UUCCGUAAAAAAAGAGUCGAUUCUGAUUCUAGGUAAAGGGAAUCGAUCAUGUGCUUUUGAAGAAUCGAUUCCGCAGACGUUUUUGGAUUUCAAAAACUAAACACAAGACCGAGUGCAUCCGAUUUCUACCCGUCAGUCAUUCUCUCACCAAUGCUGGUCCCCGCUCCUGAUUGGGGCUGACGAAGCCGUUCCACGCCUCCUCCGACACGUGCACAGCAAUCGACCGUCUUAUCACCUACACUUGACGAGUGUAGCGUGGUGAAGCACUGCGUACGGAGGAUCACACCCCUCCACCGCACUCCUUCCCAUCUCCAUGCAGGCGCCACCAACCAGCCAGCAGAGGGCGUAAUCGCACUAGGAUGAGAGAGAGUCCCGCCCCCCCAACCGGCCAAUCGUUGUUCAUGCAGCCGCCCAGCCUUCAGCCGGCAAGGCUGAGUUUCGAUACCAUGUAUCCGGAAUCUCAGCUCUGGUGCAGAGCGUGUGUUUUACCGCUGCGCCACCUGAGCAACCGAUUAGUGUUUUUUUAAAGGAAAGCUUGCUUACUCCAAGAUAUAGCAUUACUAACCUCUGUAAGAGUCAUUCGAAGCUCUUCAAAGUAAGUGGGAAAAUCAGCCUCUGCUUGCAAAUCCUCAAUAGCCAGGAACGUAGCCAGUGAUUGCACUAGGUCUCCAGCCAGGUCAAUGUCAUCUGUAUUCAGUGUUAUCUGGCAGAUCAGUAGAUUGAUAACAAAAAUUAAAGGAAUUGUUAAACAGAAGUGAUGUUUCUAUUAAUUAUGAUGCACCCUUCAAUGCAUACCUCGCCACUACUGUGCAUGUUAAUAACCAAGAGUCCUCCUCCACGCAGUGACGUGAAGGCUACAUCUGGGCUGUUAAUGCCUUCUGGUAGCAAAAAGUUCUGGUUCAGCCACAUGACAACCUGAAAAAGAAAAAACAAAUGCGUUAGCAACUUCAGUUUAAUCAGUGCCGGUGGAAUUUCACUGACUUGUUUAAGGAUGUGAAUGCUUGACUUUGCAGCAACUUCUUUCAACAAUUAUGACUCACUGCAAAUGCAUCAGAGUAUGAUUGCAGGUGUGUGUCUUACCCUCUGAGGCCUGUCGUUUAUGCUAAACGUGACCCGUCCUGAGGGCCGAGGCGCUGACUGAUCAACGUGAAGGUCGUACAUGGAGAAGCGAGGCAGCUGCCGUGUUAUCUCAAACACAUGGAACUGUGUACUAAAAAAAAAAGAGGUGCAGAUGAGCUGGGUUUGACCAUCCAUGCGGUAGUCUCCCUCCACCACACCAGCCACAGACGAGG